ACGGCAGAGAUGUCGUUUCCCUUGUGGCCUGUGUGCAGGUGGUGCAUGGCUGUCGUCAGCUCGUGUCGUGAGAUGUUGGGUUAAGUCCCGCAACGAGCGCAACCCUUGUCUCAUGUUGCCAGCGCGUUAUGGCGGGGACUCGUGAGAGACUGCCGGGGUCAACUCGGAGGAAGGUGGGGAUGACGUCAAGUCAUCAUGCCCCUUAUGUCCAGGGCUUCACACAUGCUACAAUGGCCGGUACAAAGGGCUGCGAUGCCGCGAGGCUUAGCGAAUCCUUUAAAGCCGGUCUCAGUUCGGAUCGGGGUCUGCAACUCGACCCCGUGAAGUCGGAGUCGCUAGUAAUCGCAGAU
rnacentral:rRNA from 1 species